rnacentral:rRNA from 1 species
UACGUAGGCAGCGAGCGUUGUUCGGAGUUACUGGGCGUAAAGGGUGUGUAGGCGGUUUUCUAAGUUUGGUGUGAAAUCUCCCGGCUCAACCGGGAGGGUGCGCCGAAAACUGGGAGACUAGAGUGCGGGAUGGGAGAGUAGAAUUCCUGGUGUAGCGGUGAAAUGCGUAGAUAUCAGGAGGAACACCGGUGGCGAAGGCAGCCUUCUGGGCCAACACUGACGCUCAUGCACGAAAGCGUGGGGAGCAAACAGG